AUUGAACGCUGGCGGCAGGCCUAACACAUGCAAGUCGAGCGAGCGGCGGACGGGUGAGUAAUGUCUGGGAACCUGCCCGAUGUAGGGGGAUAACUUACGGAAACGGUAGCUAAUACAGCAUACCAUCAGAUGUGCUCAGAGGGGAUCAGCUAGUAGGUGGGGUAACGGCUCACCUAGGCGACGAUCCAUAGCUGGUCUGAGAGGAUGACCAGCGACAAUGGAACUGAGACACAGUCCACACUCCUGCGUGAGGGAGGAGUGGGGAAUGUUGCAAAAUGGGCGCAAGGCUGAUGCAGCCAUGACGCGUGUGCGAAGAAGGCCUUCGGGUUGUAGAGCACUUUCAGCGGGUAGGCGUUACCCGCAGAAGAAGCACCGGCUAACGCCGUGCCAGCAGCCGCGGUAAUAC
rnacentral:rRNA from 1 species